GAUCAACCGAUAAAAAGACGUAAAUUAUUUAGAAAGUUGAAAAGGGAGAAUAACCGUGACUGAAAGUUAUUCCAACUUGAAAUAAUUUUGUUCAUCUUUUUGGUUACUUAAAGAAAUUUAAGUCGGAAUUGUCAUUCCGUUAUCAAUAGAUAUACAAGUGUAUGCUUAGGCAUAAAUUUGGGUGGUACCACGGAAAGCUUUCGUCCCAGUU
rnacentral:ncRNA from 1 species